GAUGAAGAACGCAGCGAAAUGCGAUACGUAAUGUGAAUUGCAGAAUUCAGUGAAUCAUCGAAUCUUUGAACGCAUAUUGCGCCUUCUGGUAUUCCGGAGGGCAUGCUUGUUUGAGUAUCAGUAACAACCUCAACUCUUCUUCAUUGCGGAGAAAGAGUUGGAUUUGAGCAUUUCCACAAGUUCGUCUUGGAGGAUUGCUUGAAAUAUGAGGUUCGGCCGGCAGUUGCCUGGGCUACAAGCAUUUCAUACUUAAUCCCGUCAAACGGAUUAUAUCCUUUGCUGCAGCCAACAUACAGGGUAACUUUGCCAGUGUUCCGACUGAUGCAGGAAAGUUGAGAACAGCUUUUUGCUUUCUCUUCUAAACUCGAUCGCAAAUCAAGUAAGUCUACCCGCUGAACUUAAGCAUAUCAAUAAGCGGAGGA
rnacentral:misc_RNA from 1 species